rnacentral:lncRNA from 1 species
GCAGUAUUAAGAACAGCAAGCAUGUCUUUGUGCGAAGUUGUGUGUUUUAUGCUUCUGUGAUUGGAUGCUGUCUUAGUGUAUCUAACACAUCUUGUCCUGACAAGAUGGCGUGUAAAAUUGGCACCAAGGCAGUGAAAUGGCCCUGAAAUCUCACUGCUCGUAUGUGAUAGAAAUUUAAUCAAGAUUUUCCAAAAUUUGACAACAGUUCUAAAAAUUGACAUGGCAUAGCUAAUCAUGAGUUUUGAUGCAGCAAUAUCAAACAACUAAUAGUAAAAAAUUUUGAUUGACCAUGCUUUAUAAAAGACUCAAUUAUCUUUCUAUUCUCUCUAUAGAAUACAGAAUGAUUUUCUAAAAGCAAUGUCAUGAGAAGAAGCAAUAAAAAAUUAUGCAGCCAGAAAAGACUCUUUAGAGUUAAAAACAUUAUCAAAGGUGGAAGUAGCCUUAUGGAUAAAGAAACAGAGAAGUUGUGGUCUGCCAAGAUUCUACGGUUUGUGAAUGGCACAGCUCGGACAGGACACCGGAUCUUCUGAUAACUGCCAUAUCGGUGACUUUUUUUCACUAGGAGGUAGUAAUGAGCUGUGGGAGAGGGGGAGAACACGGAACUGUAAAUGCUAAGCAGG